UUGAUUUAACACAUUGGUUUUUGUAAAUAUGCCAUGAGAGGUAGCUCUUUUUCCUCAUUCAGAUCCUCAGUGCUGCAAAGCCUCGGUUUCAACUGGCAUGAGUAUUAAACACGGUCCCGGUUGUGAAGCUACACUGGCCAGGCUACCUUUGGAACGCUAAUCCCGAGACGGUGGUUUCUCUACUUUGAUGAGAACUCACAGUGAUGUUUUCUACCAUUGGAAGCUGUUUCAACUUAUCUGGAGCAGGAAGGAAUGCCUGUGACAGAUCCCUGUGUCUGCUCCACGACUUUCUCAUUAUGUUGGCAGCCCUUGGAGAUUCUGGAUCUGGCUUAAUGAGUGAGCCUCUCCGAAGGGUUGAUAUUCAAAAUAUUAUACAGCACAUAUAGCAGGGACACUGACAAAUCAGAAUGCUGACUGCAAACAACCAGAACACCGACUCACAGUGUUCCCAGUAAACGUUUCUACUGGACUCUGACCCAGCCUUCUCUUUCAGUUCCUACAAAGAAAGUCCUUCUCUGUUUGAGCCCCACAGGACAGCCACCAGAUGCCUUUACCUAUCAUGCUCCCUCCCCUCAUAUGACAGAUAAGAAGGGUCAUGUAACACAAAUUAAACACAACGUUAUAAUCAGA